rnacentral:rRNA from 1 species
GAAAAAACUAGCCCUGAGAAACACCGCUCCUCCCGAUCUCCCGUCGAAAAGAAAAACGCAGGGACGAGUCGCUCCUGUCCCCUAGCCCCUCGCGCGCUAGGGUUCCUCACGGCGCCGUCGCUGUCGCCGCAUGGGUGUUCAUCCACUGGCCCUGCCUCCGGCGGCCGCCGCCGUAGCCGCCCACCUCCAUCCUCUCCCCAGCCCCGUCGGCCUCCACUUCACUCCCCUCCUCCGCGGGCGCCACCAAACCGCCGCCGCCCUCCCCCCGCACCCGCACCCAAGGACUCAGCCGGUGGCCAGAUCCGCCCCUCCCACUCACCCAACUCUCUCUUCGUCGCCGCCAUCUAGGCCGGCCGAUUCCGUAAUGAUCCGGCGCCGAUCCGUUCCUGUAGCCGCCGUCGUUCGCGUACAGAUCAGGCGCCGGUCCGCGGCCUGGAGUCUAGGAUGUCAGCGCCACCAGUUUACCGAUCAGGUCGUUAGCACUGCCGUCCAGGUGAUAAUAAACGCCGUUCACCACAACAAGAGGUGAACAACAAGAGGCGAGAGGCAGAUUCUAGAUAAGGGAGCAAACUGCGUAGCAAGAUCAAUAAUGAAUGGUUCAAGUCAUGUGUUACAAGUUACAAUGAGCAGGUGGUACUCAAGUCCGUUGAUGAUAAGGAUAUUAUUCGAACAUUUACUGCAAUGAGGUCUCGGAAAGGGCAUUUGCCUCGUGAUUGUCUUUAGUGCGCUGCCGGUAUUCGGCAUGCCAGCGCCUUCGUCGACUUCCACUCGCCAAUCUGUAACGCCUAUGCCCAUGGUGGCAGGUCACACUCUGAUGCAGCCGUGCACGCCGCCGCUACCAGACGACACCCCCAUCGAGUAAUACACCCCAGCCGAGAUUUUCUAUAUCAUCUCUGCCAAGGCGCAGUCAUCGGAAGAGAUUCAGGUAAGAUUAUCCUUGUUUUCUACAUCAAAUUUCUCAUGUUCAUCUGUCUAAUCUUUGAUACUACAUUUCUUAGCUAAUGUCCUCCUUGCCUGUACCAUGUUCAUAUGAUUAACAAAGGCUUGGCCAUCUUAAUAUAGUAGCCCGUGAGGUGGAUAUAUAUACUACUCCCUCCAUUCCUAAAUAUAAGUCUUUUUACAGAUUCCAAUAUGGACUACUGAGUGAAUCUACACUCUAAAGAAUGUCUAAAUGCAUCCGUAUGUAGUACAUAUUGAAAUCUCCAAAUGGACUUAUAUUUAGAAACAGAAGGAGUACUUCAGUUUGCAUGAGAGAAUAAUCACUUAUAUGUGUGCCUCGAUAUUAUAGUAGGAUUGCUUGGAUUAUUUCUGUAGUACUUUGUCCAAAAAUGUUGUUCUAAUCCCUAGCUCACUUGAACCUGGGUGAACAGUAAAAUAAUUAAAGAAUCUGAUAUAUUUUUUAGUGUGAAACAUUGACAAAUGUCUUCAUAGCAAAUAGAAAUUUGUCACCAGAUGACAUUCGUGGAAAAUAUGUCCAAAAAAUAGUUGCAAAUUUAUCACCAGAUAACAUUGUGGAAAAUAGUUGCGGCCGUACCGUGUGUUCUUUGUCGAAUUUGUGUUUGAUUUUUUCAUUAUAUAUUACUUCUUGCUUGCGCGAGGGUGGUUGUAGAUUUGUUAUUUUUUGCCCCGAAAAGAAGGUAACCGGAUUAGUAGUCUAAUUGAGUAGAUGCUGGUGAGGGAGGGUUACUUGAUUUUUAUUGAGUACAUUAUGCUCCGCUUUGUGAUGAGGUUUGAAAUUUGAUUGUUCUGAUGUGUAAUAGAGGGGGCAAAAGUGUUAUCCAUUUCAUUGUUUCUGUGCAUGUUUACGUUGACCAUCGGUGGCGGGAGGCGGCAUUGUUGGCGGCCGAAGGGGUGCUUGUGGAAGCAGGUGGUAUAGUCGGCAGCUGUGGGGAUUCGUUAUUCUCCGAGGUUGGCGGGCUCGACGCCAGGCUCGAUGGCGCUGCGGGAUUGUCAAGCAGGAAAAGUUCGUCAACUCGUCCAGUUUGAUGCUUUUCAACUGCUGGAUAAUGGUUUCGUGCCAUGCGUCGUCUCCAUGUAUUUACUAAAACAUUUACUAUGCUCUUCUAUUUGGAGAAAGAAGCCUGGUGCAGCCUACCAAGCUGGGGAGAGCCAUAGAAUGCCCAUCUUGGAAUUAGCUGUUCGACUGAAUGUCCGGGACAAAGAUAUUGCCACCUCCUUUGAGUAUGCUUGACUUGUAUAAUGCGAUUUUCAUUUAUUUAGAGUGAAUUACAUAAU